rnacentral:lncRNA from 1 species
UAAAAGUUUAAUACAAUAAGUAUUCCAAAAGCUAUUACAUCAAAUGAGUGGCUUUGUGGGCAUACUUCCAACAAAUGGUUGUACAAAACCAAGUUAAACCUUGAUGGUUCAUUGCAAAACAACAAGGCUAGACUUGUGGCAUAUGCACAAAAGCCAGAGAAUUGACUACAAUGAGACUUUUUCCCCAGUAGCUAGACUUGAUACAAUUCAUGUUGGAAAUGUGCCCUAAAACCAAUCAUAUGAUGAUACUUUAAGAACAUUUCACAUGUUAAACUAAUCUAGUUUAAUAUCAAGGGCAAAGAUUAUUGUUUGAGCCAUCUCAUAUAAAUGUUAUACACUUAAAUGAUAAGUCCAAGGAAUAUGUGAUUGGGAGAAUGCGAUCUAAAGAAGUUAGAUUCAUGAGACCAUUCUUUCGUAGACACAUCCUAAACGUUCCUAAUCAUAGGAUUGCCAAUUGGGCAUUGACAGUCCGUUAAGAUCAGUACAUGCUAUGUCUUCUCUUAGUGAGAGUGACUAGCAUGUAGGUGCUCAAUAAUGAAUGAGUCCACUGAACAUGAUCAACGAGGAGUUCUCAUACUCAUGUCACAUGAGAACUCAUGGUUGGGAUAAUGCAAAGUAGUCUUUUGACCUGUGGCAUCAUAUUUGUCUUGUGGUUAAGUCCUUGAUCUUUGAUUAUGUCAAAGUCACUCCAUCAGGAGGGUGUCCACGGCAUCAUCGGGGUUAAGCCACUUAGCCAUGGAGGCAAGUGAAUGCGCAACAAGGGAUCUCUAACCUUCAAACCG